rnacentral:miRNA from 1 species
CUUGAUUCUAGGUCCCGUCGCCU